rnacentral:lncRNA from 1 species
CAAUAGGUAGUCUUGUAUAUAUAAAUGUAAUUGCAACUUAUGGGCGUAUUAGGUAAAUCACCACGACGGUUUUAUAAAAUUGGUAUUAGGUAUCGGGUCAACGGGUGGUAGACAGAGUUAUAAAAUCCGCACGAGAAAUUGGUGUUUAAUAAACGGGUGGGUUUCGGGUCAACCCGCUAACCCGCUAUAAUACCUAUCUAACCAGUUUAUUUAGCGGGUCGUGUCACGGGUCGUGUCAACCCGCAUCAAACCGAUUAACCCGUUUUAUUUGCAAACUCUAAAAAACUAAAACCCUAGCAUAAUAUUUAUUAAUAAUUUAAUACCCUCUUAAAAAAAAAAAAUUAACACACAUAUAUAUUCAUAAGUUCAUAACCCUAGCCUCUCACUCAUACGCUCUGGAUACAAACGAACGACCUUUCCAGUUUCCACACAGCCGCCUAGCCUUAGUCUGCUCAGUGCUCACCAAACCAGUUCCCUCCUCUCCAAGUCCAAUCCAAGCCUCAUCUCUUUACUCCCUCUGCUUUG